rnacentral:lncRNA from 1 species
AGCGCCAUGUUCCGUGGCAGCCGGCGGCGACACCUAGCGAGCGAGCGACAGGCUGCGGCCGGGGAGCGAGCCCAACUUCGGCUCUCAACUUUGUUUUCGCUGCAGUAAACGCUGACAGAAGCGUCGGGGACAUCUGUGGCGUGACAGCAGACUUCCUUCUCUGCCGGGAACUGCACUGAGCCCUGUGGGAUCACCACUUCAGUAUUCCAGAAGGAAGCAAUGGAAGACUUCAGUUACCUGUGAACAGACUUGUCCUAUGAAGUAUUACAGCACGUACGUAAGAUUUCAGAAGUAAUUGGUUUUUGAAGUGAAAACUCAGGUUAAUCCCAAGAACAGAAGACCUUGUCGGAAUAUGCUGGAGAAACAUCACUGUAAUAGUGACUGUUUCAGAAAAAAAGCAACCUUGUAGUUGCUGUUUGCUCUAGUGGAUAAUCUAUUCCUGAAUAGAUCUUCAGUGCCAAAGGAAUAUAAAGUGACAAAUACCAUUUCAGUCUGUGAAACAAUCUCUCUGUUUCCUGAGCACUACAAAACAGAUC